UAAUCCUUAAGCCAGUUUCUUCCUAAUACAA
rnacentral:sRNA from 1 species